AAUGAUGCAAGCGAGUCUAGGUCAUGAAGGGGGACUUCAAAAGCAUAUCAACAACCGACCGAGAUAAGCUUCUUUAGUAACCAUUCUCAAAGAUCCAGAAUUUGCUCCAACACUUUAUCAACCUCGUACAUAACACAGUUCAGACGUGCAGAUAAUAAUCGUUAUAGAAACAUGCAAGUCGUUAUAUAGGGUUUAAGCUAUAAACAUACCCCUUCCUCUAACUUAUAGACUUUCAU
rnacentral:lncRNA from 1 species